CUUCUUCUAGGCAAACAAGUCAAAGACUAAAUUUGAUGCAAAUUACAAAUCUUAAUAGAACUCGUUGAAAAUAAUUUAGAUAAUUUUUUUCUUAAUUUCCUUACAUUGUUGGCAAAAAGUUUGCGAAAAGGUGGCAAACUUGUUCGCAACACAGAGUUCCAAGUAUUACAACACAUGCAAGCAAACAUUCGACUCUGUCAAGAUCUCUGGAUCUGUUGCUUGCACUGGGAUCAAAUACAUCAUUUUGGAUGUCCUGAUUUCUGAAAUGCUGCAUCGUUGGCCAGCAGUUAUCUCUUUCAGGUUUUACCUUUUCUUUUUCACUUUGCCAUCAUCCUCAUUUCAUCCUGGGCAGAGGCCAUCUAUCGAGUUUAAUCCUGAACAUAGAUCCAUCAAGAAUAUAAUGCUAUUAGUAUUAAGCAUCUGUUAAACAAUCUGAUCAAAGUUUUUCUUUUAAAUAUCUCAUAAAAUACCAGUGCAGUGUUAAGUGAUAACUGGUAUACAAUGUUAGCAAGAUCACUAUUGUUCUUGUUUUCAUUUCUUAGUAACUCUGCUUUGAAAACAGAAUCUCAAAUUACUUUAAACCUCAACAGAAAACAAUAAGAAAACAGGAAUUAUGAUCCUGGGCUGGCAUUUGCUGAUUCACUGUAAAUCAUGCACGGCUUAAGAUGGGAUCUGUUUAUGCCCGUCUUUGUUUUUGAACAAAUUGCUGGGAACCUAUCUCUACCUAAUGUGGUGAUGGGCUGUGCGGUGAAGAUCUGUUGCUGUGAAAAUGCCAUGCUCCAAAAAUAGAAUUUAAAAAAAGCAGAUGCAAGGCUGAGAAUUUAGUAAAUACCUGAGCACGUUGGACAAAUGACAGGAGAGUGUUAUUGCAUAAUUCUUCAUCCUCUAAUUAGAAAUUUUUAUACUGCUGAUGUGAGAAAUUUUGGGCCAAUUUUCCCCCGUCUCCCUUUCACACCUUGUGGCCAGCAAAGGACAAUCGAUAAUCUUAAGAUAUUCAAGGGAGGAGGGCAGCCCUUCUUCUGGCAUGAACUCAAGCUUAGGAGAAUGCGAGAUCAACAAUUUGCGAAGAGAGGUGAAGUGUUGAAGCCCCGUAUAGUUCAGAGAUUUAAGAUUUCUGAGAUCUGAGAUUUGAAGAGAUUCAAGGGAGGAGGGCAGCCCCUCACCUGGCACGGACUCAAGCUUGGGAGAACUAGAGAUACGUAAUUUACGAAGGGAGGUGAGGUGCCGAAGCCCCUUAUAUUCCAGAUCUUCAAGAUUCAAGAUUUCAAGGUUUUCAAGGGAGGAGGGAAGCAUGUCUUCUGGAAGGGACUCCAGCUUAGGACUCUUGAGAAUCAAUGUGCGAAGAGAGGUCAGGUGCUGAAGCUCCUUGUAGUCCCGACCUCGUUGAUCCCAUAAUUGAAGGCAUUCAAGGGAGGGAGGCAGCCCCUGCAACGAUGCAAGCUUUGGACAAUUCCAGAUCUUCAAUUUGCGAAGAGAGGUGAUGCGCUGAAGCCCCAUGGAUCCAGAGAUUCCAGUGUCAUGACAUGAAGGUAUUCAAGGGAGGAGGGAAGCGCCUGCUCUGAUAUGGACUCAAGCUUAGGGCAACCCUCGAUACUCAAUUUCCUAAGAGAGGUGAGGUGAUGAAGCCCCUUAUAGUCAAGAGACUUCAGAUUUCCCAGACGUUUGAUUUUAAGGGUUGUGAGAGUAGAGGGCAACGUCUCCUCGUCAAAAGACUCCACAUCGUUCCCAGUAAAUCUGAAGCAUGAAAGAGAAGGGAGUGCUUGCAAACCACAUACCUUGAGCUUGAUACAAUCCACAAUGCAAAGUGUGUGUAAUUUGGAGGGUAAACCUCCUUCAGGAAACGAAUCAACUUCUGGAAGUGAUCUCAAUUGCAAAUCCUCAAGGGAAGGGAGGAGGGAAUGCAUGUUUUCUGGCAAAGACUUCAAAUAUAAGCAACCCUCUAACACAAGGCUUGUCAAAUCUGGGGCAGCUAGUCCUCCUCGGGGGAAAGACACCAAAUUAGGACAGUGUCUGACAGUCAAAUGACGGAGAGCAGGAAGAGAUCUCUCGCCUAUACAAAGAGAUUCGAGAUUGAGACAUUGUUUGACUGUAAGUGUGGAUACCUGGGGUAAAAGGUCUAGCCGGCAGGAGUUAAAUGAACUACAUCUAUCGAUUUCAACAUCUGUGAAAGAAGAGGGAUCCACAUGACUCAUUUGCUCCAUUCCCUUUAGUUGGGGAUAUUCUCUAAAUUGAAGGCACCGCCCACCGCCAUAUAAUACCGAUGCAUUUAUACGACCACUAGAACCAUCAAAUACAUUGAUUUCGGUGAGCAGUGGAGCCUCUGGAAUUGAAACCACAAGCUGUGGACACGCUCUAAUCUCAAGUAUCAAUAAAGAAGGAAGGUGAUUAGGCAAGCCAUUUGUUAACUCGGGACAACCUGCUAUCAAGAGCUUUGCAAGAUGAGGGAAAGCACCAGCUACAUCUGUAUUCCAUUCCUGCCAUUUUUUCAUCCCCUCGAACUUUAAUAUUUUGAGGGAUUUAAAUGGCUUCUCCAUCGAAGAGUCACUUCCAUAGAACUCAGAGCCAACUGCCACGACUUCAUCAAAUCCUUUAAUUUGGAGCUCUUCUAGAGAUGAAAGCUGCCCCAGUGGUGGUAAGGAGAUGCAGUUCUUACAUCCAGAAAGUGUCAACGCUACCAUAUUUGAGAAGGAAGAGUUUCCAAACCAACCUGGAAACAUCGUACCCCCAUAACCAGUAAUGACAAGCUGUUUCACAUUUUCAGAAGGCUCCAAUUUCUCAAGCACGUCUCUCUCAUGUUGUGUGUCAUCCGUAUUACCACCCCAUAUCAACCUCAGCUUCUCAAUCUUCUUCUUACCCUUCAAAUUGGCAUCCAAAGCAUCUUGAGCAUUUGCAACAUCUCUGAGAUUCCGAAUAGAAAGUUUUCUCCUUAUAUGUGAGAGCUUCCCCAGCUCUUUCAUGCUAGACCCACUCUCUUUUCCCACGACGUAAUAUUGCAAAGUUCGAAGCUUUGUGAGUUUCCCCAUUUUUGGUGGCAUCACUUUCAAAUUUGUCCCUUCAAUAUCAAGAUGUUGUAACUCGACCAAGUUCGAAAUGUUGGAUGGCAACUCCAUGAGAUGUCGACACUCUCUUAACAACAGAGUUUGCAGAUAGUACAAGGUGCUCACACUUUCGGCAACCGUUCAAUUAAUGUCUGAGAAAGGUCCAAGUGCCGCAAAUGUUUCAAGUUGCCGAUGGAAUUGGGCAAAUGAGAAGAUUUAUAGCUCCACCGAUAUAAAGAUAGCGUUCGCAAGCGCUUAAGAUUUGUCAACAUGUCAUUCAGCACCCCACUAUCAAUCCCCCCCACGUAUGUUAGUGGAGACAAGGUGCGCAAAUGUUGGACUCCAUGAAUGCGAGGAAAUAUCUUAGAGACCCCAUCACAUAGUGUUGAAGUGAUUGAUAAAUGACGAGUCCUUUCUGGAAGCGUGCAUGAAUUUUCACCCUCCAACGUAGUGCCCGAUUCUCCAUCCAUAACAAGUUUAAAGCAGAAUUCUCCUGACAUGUAUUCAGCUAGAUCACUUGUGAGGUCGUGCAUGCUGAAAUAUGAUGGGGCGUAAAGUGAUUGCUGAAACAGUGACCUAGAGACAAGGUCAUUGAAGUAUUUGUCACCUAUUUCUUCCAUCUCCUCAACACCUCUGGACUGGACUAGAAAACCUUGUGCCAUCCAUGAAGUGAUUACUUGAUUCUUCUCAAAUACAUAACCCUUGGGAAAUAUUGCACAAUAAGCAAAACAACGUUUGAGGUGUGAAGGGAGAUAAUAAUAGCUCAAUGUUAGAGCUGGAGGGAUGUUUUCAUUCGACAAACCCCACAUGUUGCUAUUGGAUAUCUUCUCCCAUUCCUUGACAUCUCCUUCGGAAUGCAAAAGACCCCCAAGAGUUUUCGCAGCCAGCGGUAAACCUUUGCACUUUCUCGCUAUUUCUCUGCCAAAUGUUUCCAAGUGUGAGAAUGCUCCAGAAUUUGCACUGCUAAAUGCAUGCCUUGCAAACAACUGCCAGCAAUCUUCAUCGCUGAUUACAUUCAAGCGGUGAGAGGGGAUGACAGUUUGCGUGACUUUUGCUACAUCUUCAUUCCGUGUUGUCACGACAAUCUUACUUCCAGGCUCUGCAUACUGCAAAGGUAGCAGUAAUUUAACCCAUUCAUUGUACACAAUGUUCCACGCAUCAUCUAGAACAAGUAGAAGUUUUUUCCCUUUCAAUGCCUCCAUUAGAGAUUCAUCUGGUUCUUUGGUGCCGCAAGUACCUGCGUUGAUCUUCUUAAGAAUAUCAUCAACUAUCCUGGUGACGUCAAAUUGUUGAGAAGCCCAGACCCAGGCUUUGAGCUCGAAGCACUCAUCUACCCUUCUGUCUUUGUAGAUAAGCUGAGCAAGAGUGGUUUUACCAACCCCUCCCAUGCCCACAAUAGGAAUCACACCUACAUUUGCACCAUUUGUAUUGUUUUUUGUCAACAAGUACUUCAUUAUGGCUUCCUUAUCAGCUUCCCUUCCAUAUACAUGAGAUUCAUCAACCACAGGAGUUGUUUUCUCUGACAAUGGUCUCCAUCCACCAGUACCUUCUAUGUGCGCAGAUCACCCUUGUGUUUAACUAAACGUUCAAGCUUCUCAUAGAUCUUUUGCAACUCUGCUUCCAUCUCUUUCAUCCUUUUAUUAGCUGGAUUAAGAAUUGGAAACAAAUUCCUUACCUGCAAUGGCGGAACAUAUCCAUGUAUAUGAGAUAGAAUUUAGGAACAUAUAAAUACUAAAAUUAUUAAACUCGUACCGAGUAAGUUAACACACAGAUGCAAUGAUGUUUUGUUUAUAAAAAAUUAAAAAAAAAUUAAAAUGAGAUUAUUUUCUUAAAAAAAUUAAGUCUAACCAAGAUUCUAAUGAGAUGAUAGGAUGGUGAAUUAACCCUCCAGGUUACUAAAAUUUGAAAGAUAAAUUCAGCAAUUAGCACAGUAAACAUAAAAAAGUGAUGCAAUGAUAUCGUUUGAAAAAACUUUUGAAAAAUAGUAUAUUUUCACCUUAUCACACCUAAGAAAAGCAAUAUUUACUAAAUUUUAUUAUUACUAAGCAUAACAAGAUAGUUGUCGUACUUUGAAUAGCAACAUUUAGUAAAUGUUGUGCUUUUAAAGAGCGACAAGGUGAAACUUCAAUCAUCUGACUCAAUUAAUUGACCUGUUCAUAAUGGUUAGUGAAAUCGAUCGACCGAUUAAAAUAUAAGAAAAAUCUCAAAAAUAUCAAAAUCAAGGGGCCUCGAUGAGAUUUUUGAUAUCUAGAGAUUUGAUAGUUUACAUAACGACAUAUUGGCUACAAUAGGGAAGAUGAUUUUUGAAAACUUCUAUAUAAGUUUGAGUGCGAUUUAACAGUCUAAUAAACAAUUAUAGCUUUUUUAGUCGUUAUUCUGGUCUGUCGGAACCAGAUCUCCUCUUGAGCCUUAAACUAUCUCCUCUUUGCACUUAAUUAAAUCCUUCAAUUUAAUCUAAAUUAAUUCUUAAACAUAAUUAAAAUUUAAUUUGGCCCAUGAUUAAAUCAAAUUGGCUCAUUAAAAAUUUAAUUACGUCAUUGGACUUAAUUUGUAUGCAAAUUCAUCCAAUAAUCAUUUAAUUUGACCUUCGAAUUUGCAUUUAAUUUGACCUUCGAUUUUUGUCUAUUUUUGCAGUCUUUUUUAUCAGCUUUUUCCAUAUUGCCAGCCUUUAUUUUAUUUAUUUUAUUUUUAUUUUUUUAAAAAAAGUGAAUUUUGAAGAAUAACCCAGAAUUGAGUUAUGACAAUCUUGAAAAAUUGCAUGAUGGAUUGAGGGUUAUGAACCGUUCAAAAACUAGACUCAAAUUCUCUGUGCAAUAUAAGAAUCUAAAGCUCGUAGAAAGAAGUAGGAAAAAAUAGCUAGAAAAGUAAGAGAAUGAAGGCAAAAAAAGUUGACAAGAUCUCUGUAAUAGCUCUGGAUCUAUUGCUUGGACCAAGGAUUAAAUAUAACAUUAUAGAUAAUCAUUGUGUCUGCUUCUACCAUUUCUUUUCACUUCUUCUUAAAGGUUAAAAGGCUAAAGGUGCAACUAGGGGUGAGCAAAGAAACCGAAAAACUGAUUAAACCGAGAAAACUGGAAAAAAUAUAACCGAAAAAACCGAAUCUAAAAAAAAAACCGAUCAAACCGAUUAGAAAAAUUAAAAAACAAGCCGGUUCGGUUCGGUUUCGGUUUUAAAAAGCUAAAACCGAAUAAACCGAACCGAACUGAACCGGUUCAAGUAAAAAAAAGUAAUAGUACUAUAAAUACCUACUUUUCAGCUUUCCCCUUCUCCUUUCUAAACCCUAGCUGCCACCCAUGUUUCAUAAUCUUCACCUCUCAACUCAGCCCCUACCCCAUCUUCACUCUCAACCUUGCCCCCACCCCCAUCUUCAUUGUCAACCUUUAUCGCCCAUGUUUCUCAAUCUUCAUCUCUCAGCCAUAGUUAUUAAACCCGGCCCGGCCCGGCGGGUCGACCCGGGACCCGGUCGACCCGGUGGCUGGACCGGUUCGGGUUUAAUAAAAGACCGGCUGUGGCAACAGCCCGGCCAAACCCGGGCGACCCGGGCAAACCCGGACGAGACCCGGGUUUUUUUUUUUUUUUUAAAUUUGGGAUAAAAAAAAUUUGGUUUAAAUAUUUCAACUUAAAAUGAUAACAUAGUAUCUUUUCAAUGUGGGGUUUGAAGCCCUUUCAUAUAUAUACUCUAUGUUCACAUGAAAAAAAUUAUAUUUUUUCAAUGUGGGAUUUAAAACCCAUUAGUAUAUAUACUCUAUGUUCCCAAGGAAAAAAUCAUGUUUUUUCAAUGUGGGAUAAAAAACCUUUUGGUUUAAAUACUUCAACUUAAAGGGAUAACAUAGUAUCUUUUCAAUGUGGGAUUUGAAGCCCUUUCAUAUAUAUACUCUAUGUUCCCAUGAAAAAAGUUAUGUUUUUUCAAUGUGGGAUUUGAAACCCAUUAGUAUAUAUACUCUAUGUUCCCAAGGAAAAAUUCAUGUUUUUCCAAUGUGGGAUAAAAAACCUUUUGGUUUAAAUACUUCAACUUAAAGGGAUAACAUAGUAUCUUUUCAAUGUGGGAUUUGAAGCCCUUUCAUAUAUAUACUCUAUGUUCCCAUGAAAAAAGUUAUGUUUUUUCAAUGUGGGAUUUGAAACCCAUUAGUAUAUAUACUCUAUGUUCCCAAGGAAAAAAUCAUGUUUUUCCAAUGUGGGAUAAAAAACCUUUUGGUUUAAAUACUUCAACUUAAAGGGAUAACAUAGUAUCUUUUCAAUGUGGGAUUUGAAGCCCUUUCAUAUAUAUACUCUAUGUUCCCAUGAAAAAAGUUAUGUUUUUUAAACCAAAAUGUUUUUUAUCCCACAUUGAAAAAACAUGAUUUUUUCUUUAGGAACAUAGAGUAUAUAUACUAAUGGGUUUCAAAUCCCACAUCGAAAAAACAUAACUUUUUUCAUGGGAACAUAGAGUAUAUAUAUGAAAGGGCUUCAAAUCCCACAUUGAAAAGAUAUUAUGUUAUCCCUUUAAGUUGAAGUAUUUAAACCAAAAGGUUUUUUUAUCCCACAUUGGAAAAACAUGAUUUUUUCCUUGGGAACAUAGAGUAUAUAUACUAAUGGGUUUCAAAUCCCACAUUGAAAAAACAUAACUUUUUUCAUGGGAACAUAGAGUAUAUAUAUGAAAGGGCUUCAAAUCCCACAUUGAAAAGAUACUAUGUUAUCCCUUUAAGUUGAAGUAUUUAAACCAAAAGGUUUUUUAUCCCACAUUGAAAAAACAUGAUUUUUUCCUUGGGAACAUAGAGUAUAUAUACUAAUGGGUUUCAAAUCCCACAUUGAAAAAAUAUAAUUCAACUUAAAAUACUUCAACUUAAAAGCUUAACAUAAUAUCUUUUUAACGUGGGAUAAAAAACUUUUUAAAAUAUUAUUUUAAACUUGAUUAUUUAUAAUAUAUAUAAUCUAUAUUUACAUGAAUUUUUUCAUAUGAAAUAUUAAUUUUUUUUUAAUUAUUACGGGUUAAUCCGGGUCAACCCGGGUUGACCCAUGAAACCCGAGACCCAGCCCCUUGGCCGGGUCAACCCCCGGGCCGGGUUUAAUAACUAUGCUCUCAGCACAGCCCCCCCUCCCAUCUUCAUCUCUCAUCCCUCAACCUUUCUCACAACCCGCCAUCACAGCCCCCCAUCUUCAUCUCUUAUCUCUCAACAUUUCUCACAAACCCCCCUCAACAUCUUCAUCUCUCAUCUCUCUCAACCUUUCUUUAAGGCUUCAAGCAUAAUUUUUUUGUCCUUUUCUUUAAGCAUAGUCGACUAAGCUCCAUGGAUUAACAACCAAAUAGCAGCUCUAGAGCCUCCCUCUCUUCAAUCUUUAUCUCUUAAUUUUUGUCCCUGUUUAUUUUUUUUUCUGAUUUCUGUAGAUCUGUUAUGUAUUCAUUUUCUAUAUUUAUUUACAAGAAUGUUGAUUUGCCAUUCAUGUUGCGAUUACUGUAAUGGAUGUUGUGAUAAAUAUUUUUUUCAAAUUUUCGUUUGAAUCUUGUUCUUUUUGGCUUCCUGAUUUAGAAAACCUGCUUGGUAUGCUUGGCCAAGAUGCAAUCAGUUUUUUCCGGUUUUUUCUUUCAAUUAACCGAACCGAACCGAAAAUGGUCGGUUUGAACCGGUUUCGAUUCGGUUUCGGUUUUCAUUUAAAAAUAAAUAAAUAAAUUGGUUUGGUUAGUUUUUUUGGUGAAAACCGGACCGAACUGGAAAUGCUCACCCCUAGGUGCAACCAUUGUUUUCUUGUUUCAAGCAGGAAAUUUUUUUUGCCUAACAAAAACAUAUGUACCUCCUUUUGUUUCCACCAAAGACAAAAAAAAUAGUUGGGAUACUGACUCGAAACAUGCAUUUAUAUGAUCAUAAAUAAUAAAUGGUAGUCCAAAUCAUUAAAUAAAUGAGUUUUAGCUUAUGUUUUAAUUUAAUUUAUUUGAACUUUUAGUUGAAAUGUAUUAAUUAGAUAUUAUUUGUUGGGUUUGAUUUAAUUAUUGUUAGGUAUUUUAUUUAGUGGACUAUACACUUAAUUGUUUGUUCUAGUUUGGGUUUCAGUAUUUGAUAAGCUUUUUCUUCUCUUUAGUUGGCUUCCCUUUCUUUUCUCUCUUCUUUAACUUUAAAUCUCUUUUGUCUUGUAUCAAAUUUGGUAUUAGAUUAUUGUUCUUGGUGGGAUUAGAGUUUUUUCUUGAUAAAUGGUAGUCAAAUUUGGUAUUAGAGCGCAAGUACAAAACUAGUUACAUGGUAUAGUCAAACCACCUCCUAUAACAAAAUUAAGGGUGUGCUUGGGAAGGCGGUACAAAUCGUGUUCCCUCAAAUUUUAAAUUUUUUUUUAUUUUUGCUUUUUUAUAGUUUUUGAUCAUUUUGAUGUGUUGAUGUCAAAAAUAAUUUUAAAAAACUAAAAAACUUUUAUUUUACUACAUUUCUAAACAAAACAUCCUUUGAAUUGUCACUGCUAACAUAAUUUCAAACACAUUCUAAGGAUGCGUUUGUUUCCUAGAAAGUGGUUUUUUAAAAAAACAAUUUUUCAAACUUUCCUGUGUUUAUUUACCAUUACGAAAGUUGGUCAAUGAAAAAUACUUUUCGGUCAACGAAAAACACUUUCAUGUCAAAGGAAAAUUUAACUUGAUUUCUAGGAAAGUAUUUUCCUUUUAUUUUGGGUGGAAAACACUUUCUAAAAGUUGUGAAAAAUAUAAAAAUAUCAUAUUAUUUGCUGAUUAUGUCAAAUUUGGUCCUCAAACUUUUGAUUGUUAUAUAUUUUGUUCGAAUUUUUUUUCUUUCAAAUUCAUCCCUUAAAAUUUGAUUUAAUUUAAUUUUUAUAUUCACUUUGAUCCUUUUUUUUUAUGAUUGUUAUUUACUUUUCUCUUAUUAUUUUUAAAAUUGAAUUUUUUUUAUCUGUCAAAUUUGAUCUUCAUUCUUUUGAUUGUUACUUAUUUUAUUUAAAAUAAUUAAUAAAAUUAUAAUAAUUAUUAUUUUAAUUUCAUCAUCUUUCAAUUUUUUUAUCUGUUAAAUUUGAUCUCUAUUAUUUUAAUUAUUAUUUAUUUUAUUUGAGAUCAUUUAUGAACUUAAUUUUUUUUUAAUUCUAUUCUCAUUCAACUUUUUAGUUUAUAAAAUUUGUUUCUUAUUAUUUUAAUAAACUUGAAAUAAAAUAAAACAUUAAAAAGCUAUUUUCCGGCUCAUUUUCUAUAAUAUAACCAAACACUGAAAAGUGUUUUCCAAUUUUCUUUGCAUGAUACUACCAAAUAUUAAAAAAUAAUUAAUUUCUUGGAAUUCAUUUCUAAAAAAACUAUAUUUAAAAAAAAAACUAUUUUUCUACCAACAAACGAAGCCUAUGUAAACUAAGUAAACGACAACGUUUGAUAUCCCUAUAUCGGAAAGGGGUCAGCCAUUCUCUUGGCACGGACUCGAGCUUAGGACAAUUCGAGAUAAUCAAUCGGCGAAGAGAGGUGAGGUGCUGCAGCCCCAUUACAGAUUUCAGAUUUAUCAGACCUGAUAUUUGAAGAGAUACAAGGGAGGAGGGCAGCUUCUCUCCUGGCAUGGACUCGAGCUUAGGAGAACUACAGAUAUGUAAUUUACGAAGAGAGGUGAGGUGCUGAAACCCCUUAUAUUCCAGAUCUUCCAAAUCCCAGAUUUCAAGGUCUUCAAGGGAGGAGGGAAGGGUGCCUUCUUGAAGGGACUCAAGCUUAAGGCUCCUCCUUAUCUUCAUUUUGCGAAGAGAGGUGAGGUGCCGAAGCUCCUUGUAGUCCCGGUCUUGCUGAUUCCAUAAUUGAAGGAUUUCAAGGGAGGAAGGCAGCCCCUGCAACGAUUCAAGUUUAGGACAAUUCCCGAUCUUCAAAUUGUGAAGAGAGGUGAGGUGCUGAAGCCCAAUGUAGUCCAGAGAUUCCAGUUUACAGAGAUAAAGGCAUUCAAGGGAGGAGGGCAGCGCCUGUUCUGGAUAUGUGCUCAAGUUUAGGGUAACUCUCAAUACUCAAAUUUCUAAGAGAGGUGAGGUGAUGAAGCCCCUGGUAUUCAAGGGAGGAGGGCAGCACCUGUUCUGAUAUGAACUCAACUUUAGGGCAACUCUUGAUCUUCAAUGUGUCAAGAGAGGUGAGGUGAUGAAGCCCCAUGUAGUCCAGAGAUUCUAGAUUUCUGAGAUAAGGUAUUCAAGGGAGGAGGGAAGCGCCUGCUCUGAUAUGGACUCAAGCUUAGGGCAACCCUCGAUACUCAAUCUCUGAAGAGAUGUGAGGUGAUGAAGCUCCUUAUAGUCCAGAGAUUUCAGGUUUUCCAGACGAUUGAUUUCAAGGGUUGUAAGAGUAGAGGGCAACGUCUCCUCGUCAAAAGACUCCACAUCGUUCCCAGUAAAUAUGAAGCAUGAAAGAGAAGGGAGUGCUUGCAAACCACAUACCUUGAGUUUGAUACAAUCCACAAUGCAAAGUGUGUUUAAUUUGGAGGGUAAACCUCCUUCAGGAAACGAAUCAACUUCUGGAAGUGAGAUCAAUUGCAAAUCUGUAGGGAAGGGAGGAGGGAAUGCAUGUUUUCCGGCAACGACUUCAAAUAUGAGCAACCCUCUAACACAAGCCUUGUCAAAUCUGGGGCAGCUAGUCCUCCUUUGGGGAAAGACACCAAAUUAGGACAGUGACUGAUUGUCAGAUGACAGAGAGCAGGGACAGGUCUCUCGCCUAUACAAAGGGAUUCCAGAUUGAGACAAUGUUCAAUGGUAAGUGUGGAUACCUGGGGUAAAAGGUCUAGCUGGCAGCACUUAAAUGAACUACAUCUCUCGAUUUUGAUAAAAGUGAAAGAAGAGGGAUCCAAACGACUCAUUUGCUCCAUUCCCUUUAGCUGGGGAUCUUGUCUAAAAUGGAGGCACGGCGUGGAUGGUUGAUCUGAUAACCCAAACUGUCCUGUUAGCCCAUUUAUACGUCUUUCAUCGCCCUCAGAUACAUUGAUUACGCCGAGCAUGGGUGCCUCUGGAAUUGAAACCACAAGCUGUGGACAUUCUUGAAUAAAAGCUUCCAUAAACAAGGAAGGUGACUAGGCAAGGCAUUUGUUAACUUGGGGCAAUGUCUUAUGCGGAGCUCUGCAAGAUGAGGGAAAGCACCAGCUACAUCUGUUUUCCAUUCCUGCCAUUUUCGCAUCCCCUCAAACUUUAAUAUUUUGAGGGAUUUAAAUGGCUUCUCCAUCGAAGGGUCACUUCCAUAGAACUCAGAACCAACUGCCACGACUUCAUCAAAUCCUUCAAUAUGGAGCUCUUCUAGAGAUGGCAGCUGCCCCAAUGGUGGUAAGAGGAUGCAGUUCUUACAUCCAUAAAGAAACAACACUACCAUAUUUGAGAAAGAAGAGUUUCCAAGCCAGCCUGGAAACGUUGUACCCCGUAACCAGUAAUGGCAAGCUGUUUCACAUUUUCAGAAGGCUCCAAUUUCUCAAGUACUUCUCUCUCGUGUGGUGUGUCAUCCGUAUUGCCAUCCCACGUCAACCCCAACUCCUCAAUCUUCUUCUUACCCUUCAAAUCGGCAUCCAAAGCAUCUUGAGCAUUUGCAACAUCUCUGAGAUUCCGAAUAGAAAGUUUUUUCCUUAUAUGUGAGAGCUUCCCCAACUCUUUCAUGCUAGACCCGCUAUCUUUUCCCACGAUGUAAGAUUCCAAAAUUCGAAGCUUCGUGAGUUUCCCCAUUUUUGGUGGCAUCUCUUUCAAAUUUGUCCCUUCAAUAUCAAGAUGUUGUAAGUCGACCAAGUUGGAAAGGUUGGAUGGCAACUCCAUGAGAUGUCGGCACUCUUUAACAAUAAGCUUUGCAAAUAGUACAAGGUGCACACACUUUCAGGUAACCUUUCAAUGGCGGUGCAAGAAAGGUCCAAGUGCCGCAAAUGUUUUCAAGUUGCCAAUGGAAUUGAGCAACUGAGAAGAAAUAUCUUUUAGAUGAAUAAAGAUAGCAUUCGCAAGCGCUUAAGAUUUGGCAAGAUGUCAUUCAGUGCCUCAUAUCACUUCCCUUAAAAACAUAGUGGAAACAAGGCGCGCAAAUGUUGGACUCCAUGAAUGCUACGAAAUAUCCGAAGUCCUCGUCAUAUGCUCCUGAAGUGAUUGAUAAAUAACGAGUCCUUUCUGGAAGCGAGCAUGAAUGUUCACCCUCCAACCCAGAGCCCGAUUCAUUAAUACCAAGCUUAAAGCAAAAUUCUCCUGACACGUAUUCAGCUAAAUCACUUAUGAUGUCAUGCAUGCUGAAAUCUGAUUGAACAUGAAGUGAUUGCUGGAAAAGUGACCUGGAGACAAGAUCAUCAAAGUAUUUUUCACCUAUAUCUUCCAUCUCCUCAACUCCUCUGGACUGGCCUAAAAAACCAUGUGCCAUCCAUUCAGUGAUUAAUCCAUUUUUCUUGAAUACAUAACUCUUGGGAAAUAUUGCACAAUAAACAAAACAACGUUUCAGGUGUGAAGGGAGAUAAUAAUAGCUCAAUGUUAGAGCUGGAGGGAUGUUUUCAUUCGACAAUCCCCACAAACUGCUAUUGGAUAUCUUCUCCCAUUGCCUGACAUCUCCUACGGAGUGCAAAAGACCCCCAAGAGUUUUCGCUGCCAGCGGUAAACCUUUGCACUUUCUCGCUAUUUCUCUGCCAAAUGCUUCCAAGUGUGAGACUGCUCCAGAAUUUACACCACUAAAUGCAUCCCUUGCAAACAAUUUCCAGCAAUCUUCAUCGCUUAUUACAUCCAAGCGGUGAGAGGGGAUGACUGUUUGCGUGACUUUUGCUACAUCUUCAUUCCGUGUUGUCACGACAAUCUUACUUCCGUGCUCCACAUACAGCAAAGGUAGCAGUAGUUUAUCCCAUUCAUUGUACUUAAUGUUCCACGCGUCAUCUAGAACAAGUAGAAGUUUCUUCCCUUUCACUGCCUCCAUUAGAGAUUCAUCUGGUUCUUUGGUGCGGCAAGUACUUGCGUUGAUCUUAUCAAGAAUAUCCUUAAUAAUCCUGGCAACAUCAAAUUGUUGGAAGCCCAGACCCAGGCUUUGAGCUCGAAGCACUCAUCUAUCGUUGUAGAUAAGCUGAGCAAGAGUGGUUUUACCAAUCCCGCCCAUGCCCACAAUGGAACGCACAACUAAAUUUGAGCCAUCUGUGUUGUGUUGUGUCAACAAGUGCUCCAUUAUGGCUUCCUUAUCAGCGUCCCUUCCAUAUACAUAGAGAUUCAUUAACCAGUGGAGUUGUUUUCUCUGACAAUGGUCUCCAUCCACCAGUACCUUCUAUGUGGCGCAGAUCACCCUUGUGUUUAAGUAAACGUUCAAGCUUCUCAAGGAUCUUUUGUAACUCUGCUUCCAUCUCUUUCAUCCUUCUAUUAGCUGGAUUUAGAAAUGGAAACCGAUCCUUACCUGCAAUGGUGGACUAAAUAUGUGAGAUAGAAUUCAGGAAAACAUUAUAAUUUAUAAUAUCAAAACAUAAACAUUAAGAUUUUUACAUCUAGUGAAUUAAUAAGUUAAUACCAUUAAAUUGUUGAUGCUAUAAACAUUAAGAUUUUUACAUCUAGUGAAUUAAUAAGUUAAUGCCAUUAAAUUGUUGAUGCUAGCUUAACGUAAUUAAGCAGUGAAAGUCAAGUUUUAAAAAGAUAUUGAUUCAAUGCCAUAAGUGAUUUUCAUAGCCCUUACUAUAUAAUAUUAUUUAUAUAUAUAUAAUGAAAUUAAUUUUUUUUCUAAAAUAAAAAUGGAAAAAUAAUUGUUUAGCAAUUAAAAAGUAAAGUAUUUAUUUUUCAUAUUUAAAAUAAAGAUAUGAGCCUUUCAUGUAUAAAACAUCAUUCCAAUUUCUAAUUGUGCUAACAAAAAAUCAAUGCAUAAUUCUUGGUGAUUAUUAUAUAUAAUUACUAAGAAAUUUAAUAUUUAUAAUAAUGGGUUUUGAAUCUCGUAAGUCCUAACUAUUCAUCACUAAAAAUAUUGAAAGACAAUUCAAUUUUAUAUCCCUUAUAUUUUCAUAAAAAAGUAAGAGUCAUUCAUGUUCUCAUAAAAAUAUAUAUAAUUUAAUUGACAAAAUUUAUAUAAAUAAUUCAGAUUUUAAAAAUAUAGCAUUUUGGAUUUUAAAAAAAACAAACAAACAAAUAGAGGGAUCAAUACAAACAUUUUAUGAGGAAGCAAGGUCUCUAGGUGCAAGAACUUAUGCUUACCCAAUUGCUGUCAGGUCGAGGGGCAUCAAUGUCCUUGGAUCGUAGAUAUUCAUAAUCAAUCUCCUCCGAUAUGUCCUCAGCUUCAUAGACAGCGUGUUUAACAUCAUUAAGCCACUUCUUCACAGCACGAUUUGUAAUCUGCUUCUCCUCCGCAUCGUCGAGUAGUCCGUUGACAGUAUUCAGUGUUUCAUUCAGCUUUUCCAGAAGACCAUCAUCGAGUUUGUGGCUUUGGAAGAAGCCCAGAACCUCACGAGAGGCCAACCUGUCGACCAGAACCUCAAUGAGAGCAGAGAGAAUUGAUCCUCCGAUCAACUCCAGAGACAUGGUGGAUUUUUGCAGAAGGGUGAGGGUGGGAAUAUGUGAGAGAAAAGGAGUUGUGGAAAGCAGGAGCCUUGGUGGAUUUUUGCUAAAGGGUGAGAGAGUGAUUAUGUGAGAGAGAAUGAUAAGCCAAAUAGAAAACCCGAGGAAGCCGGCUUCGAGUGUGUUUGUCCUUGACGCAGUGUAUGCGUUUUCUCUCAAUGUAUAGAAAUGAUGGGCCCACUGCCCAAGGUUGGAACUUGGAUAUGAAAAAGAUUUUUUUUUUUCUGCUUUUUACAUGCUGGAUCACAGGUUAAACCUUCUUGAUCUGCUAAAAAAAACAUUCAAAAAUUAUCUUUGCAUCCUUUUUCUUUCUCCUAUCAUUCAUUACAAUUGCUUGUCUUUCUUUGAACAAUACAAUUGCCCAGAAAAUUCUGGUUUUGCUAUCAACAUGAUACAAUAGCAAUGAACAAGUCUAUUUCAUUAAAAAUUCAGAUUUGUAAUUUACUCGUAAACUAGUCGACUUAUCAGGUCAACCUGAAACUUGAAUGACUCGGUAAAAUACUAGUAAAGACCAUUUUCUUCAAAUGUAUUUUUUUCUCCUAUCUAGGAACCUUUUAUAUAUUUUAUUUUUUUUAUUUAGUUACUCAUUUCAAAAUUCACUAUAUAAAUAUUAGAAGAAUAUUUUAUUUUUUUAAUGUGAUAUUUUGAAGCCCUUUAAUAUAUAUACUUUAUGUUCUUCAAAAAAAAAUUAUGUUUUUUCAAAUGUAGAAUAAAAAACCUUUUUUGUUUAAAUACUUCAACUUAAAAAAAUAAGAUAGUAUAUUUUCAAAGUAGAAUAAAAAAUCUUUUGAAAUAAUCUUUUAAACUUAAUUGCUUACAACAUGUAUAGCCUAUAUCCAUAUAGAUUAUUUUUUAUUUUUUUAUAUAAAAUAUUAAAACCUCAUAUUUUUUUAAUUUUUCCUGAUUGACCCGAGUCAACCCAUGUAAACUAGGACCUAGCCCCUUAGUCGGGUUAAUCCUUAGGCUGAGUUUGAUAACCAUGAUUGUCAUGAGAAUACAACUUUAAAAAUGCAAUUAAAAAGAAAUAAAGUGAUGUGAACAGUUAAAAAAUCAAAUAAAUAGAUAAAACCUUUUCUUUUUUAUUUUAUUAAGGGCCUCUUUUAAUUAUUUUUUUUAUUAUGUGUUUAGAGAUAAAUUUAUGGACACUAAAAUCAACAUUUUUUAUUCUUGAAAUACAACUCACCAAAAUACCUUUUUAUAUAUAUCUAACGACUUUCUAUUUAUACUCAUGACAUCAAAAAAUUGAAAUACGAGGAGAAUGAAGUUUUAGAAUUAAAUAUAAAUAGCUAAAACUACAAGAAUAAAAGAAAAAACUUUAGGAACCCAAAUGAACUUUUAUGAGAAUUUCAAGGAUCAAAACUCAAUAUUCAGAUAGUAAAACGAGUGGGAAAUGAAGUUUAAAACUAAAAUGUAAACACAUAAAACUACUAGGAUUAAAAAUAUUUUUUUAAAAAACUUCAUUUGGUAUUACUCUUAGAACGUAAUUGGUACAAGGCUUAAAAAUAUGGGUGAAAUUAUCACAUAAAUAAUAAUUAUUAUUAUAAGAGCAAAUUUAAAAAGUGUAAAUGUUGGUUUUUAAAAAUGACUGAUGUAUUUGAACAGUUAAAUACUUGUGAAAAAAAGAGAGAAUAAUUUAAUAAUUAACUUCAACUUUUCCAUUAAUUAAUUAAGAUCUAAAAAAUCCAAAAAUUAUAAGUUUCUAAUAUAAAGUUAAAAAAUUUACAUAUAUAUAAAAAAGAUAUUUCAUAAAAUUCUAUUUUUUUUUAAUAAUUCACAGAAACUCAAUGCAAGACUUCAUAUGUUGAAUCUUCUCAUUAUCAACACUUUCAAAUAUAUCUUUUUUGAUAUAAGUAACCAAACAAUCAUUAAAUAAAUUAUCCCCAACUCGAUUGUGUAAUCGACUUUUGACUAAUUUCAACGUUGAAAAUAUUCUCUUUACUGAUGCAAUAACCACGCGUAAAAUUAAUGCUAAAUUUAUCACGUAAUAUAUGUUAUUUAUUAAAUUUAUUACUUAUAUAUUAAAAUGUAUGGGAUUUUCACCGUGUAUUUGUUAUUAUACAAUUUUUUUUUUCAGUUUAUCCAUGACAACUAGAGUGCCGAGCUCAAAAUGCUAGGGUCUGACAUAGUACCCGACCUAAUUACCAAACCCUAGAUUUGGUAACUAUGCAAGACCCAAGCAUCCCUUGCAAACAACUCCCAGCAAUAUUCAUAGCUUAUUGCAUUCAAGCGGUGAAAGGGGAUGACAGUUUGCGUGACUUUUGCUACAUCUUCUUCCCGUGUUGUCACGACAAUCUUACUUCCGUGCUCCACAUACCGCAAAGGUAGCAGUAGUUUAUCCCAUUCAUUGUACUUGAUGUUCCACGCGUCAUCUAGAACAGGUAGAAGUUUUUUCCCUUUCACUGCCUCCAUUAGAGAUUCAUCUGGUUCUUUGGUGCGGCAUGUACUUGCGUUGAUCUUAUCAAGAAUAUCCUGAAUAAUCCUGGCAACAUCAAAAUAGAUAACAACUACUGUAUAAAUAAUAAUUUUUAAAAUUUUUAAUUGAAAUCUAUUUUUUAAUCUAAUUAUUGGACACAUAUGAACAUUUUGACUCAUAAUUAAUUUUUUUAAAAAAAAUUCAUAAAAUUAUAAUUUUUAUGUGAAAUAAUCCACUGUUUAAUACAAUAAACUUCAAUUAAAUGACCAAUUAAGCUAGAUGAUUGAACUUUCAAUUAAUUUGUUAACUUGCGCUAACAUUUACCAAUGUUACUGUUUGAAAAUGUAAAAGUAAGCUAUUUCACUAAAAAAAAAUUUCGGUCUAGCAUCACUAAGCCACCUCUGCACAGCAGGCUUGGUAAUCUGUUUCUCCUCCGCGUCGUCGAGAAGUCCGUUGAGAGUAUUCAGUGUUUCUUUCAACUUUCCGAGAAGACCAUCAUUGAGCUUGUGGCUUUCGUCUCAUUUGCCCUGAAACCAAGCAUACGUUGUGGAAUUGAAAAGUAAGCAAGAGUUGCAAUAAAUCUCGUAAGUUAUGGAUUGAUUUGGUUCUACGAGGAUUAAUAUCACAACCAGCUUUGAAAAGCGAUAUGUUUUUGAUUUUUUGUUGUUUUUUUUAAAUGUUUUUUAAUUAAAAAUAUAUUAAAAUAAUAUUUUUUAUUUAUUAAUUAAAAAUAAAUUAUUUAAAAUAAAGAAAACAAUUAAAUUUUUUUUAAAAAAAAAAUUUAAAAUGUAAAAAUAAACAGCCUUGAAGAAGGUUUUUGAGAGUAUAGUAAUACUUGCUUUUAAAAAAAAAAAUUUGCUUAUGUGUGAGAGCUUCCCCAGCUCUUUCAUGCUAGACCCGCUCUCUUUUCCCACAAUGUAAUAUUCCAAAUAUCGAAGCUUUGUGAGUUUCGUUAUUUUUGGUGGCAUCUCUUCCAAAUUUGUCCCUUCAAUAUCAAGAUAUUGUAGGUUGACCAAGUUGGAAAUGUUGGAUGGCAACUCCAUGAGAUGUCGGCACUCUCUUAACAAUAGAGUUUGCAAAUAGUACAAGGUGCUCACACUUUCAGGUAACCUUUCAGUGGCGGUACAAGAAAGGUCCAAGUGCCGCAAAUGUUUUAAGUUGCCAAUGGAAUUGAGCAACUGAGAAGAAAUACUAAGGCCCCGUUUGUUUGCAGGAAAGUAAAUUCCUUUUGGAAAAUGAAUUCCGGGGAAAGUGAAUUCCUGGAAAGUGAAUUCCGGGAAAGUAUUUUCCGAUGUUUGGUAGUGUUAUAGAAAAUACUUUCCAGUGUUUGGUUGUGUUAUGAAAAAUAAAUUGGAAAAUAAUUUAUUAAUAAAUUAAUUUUUUUUUCAAAUUUAUCUAAUAUAUAUAAAAUAUUUAAUAUAAAAUAUUUAAUCACUUACAAUAAACAAAAUAAAAUCUAAAAUGUAUAAUGAUGAAUUUUUUUUAUUAUUAUAUUCUAUAUUCAUACAUAGCUUAUUUUAUAAAAUAUAACUAUAUAUAUCAUAUCAUAUUAUAAAGAAAUAAGCUUGUGAAAUAUUUUUUACUAUUCUAUGAAACCAUUUAUAAUUUCAUUACAUACGAAAUACAUCCGACAAAAACUAUAGUUUUAAUAAUAUUUUUAGCAUGUAAUAAAAUUGGAUAAAAUAUUAAGGUAUAAAAUUCACUCUAAACUAUUUUUUUUUAAUGUUAAAAAAAUAGCACACUUAUAUUUAUAUAUAUAUAUAAAAAAAAAAAAAAACGGAACAGUGCACUAAAACUGCACUGUUCACUCUUUUUUAGUGAACAGUGUAUGCAAUACACUGUUCAUUGUAAUUGCACUGUUCAAUGAACAGUGCAAUUACCAUGAACAGUUACAGAAAAACACGCAGCUGGCUCAGGAAAGUGUUUUCCGAGAAUUAAAAACGGAAAACACUUUCCUUAUGUUAAACUUAACAUUUUCCUUUGACUGGAAUUAACUUUCCUUUGACUAACUUUCCGGAUGGUUGCCAAACACUGGAAAAUGAGGAAACUGAAUUCCUGGAAUUCAGUUUCCUUGAAACAAACAAGGCCUAAGAGAACAAACAUAUAGACUUUUAAAGGAAAAGAAAAGAAGAAGAUUCAUGGAAGCCGGUUUUAAACUUCCUAACAAUAUUAAAUUAUUUAUAUUAUAUUCACACUUGGUAAAAUUACUAGCCACAACCUUCUUUGCCUCCACUAAUUUCUGAGCAAGAUCAUCGAUUCCUUUUUAUCUCUGGAAAUUCUUCACAAGAUCUCAGGUUAAGAAUAUAAGUUUCGAGUUGAUUAUAAAUUGUUACAAGCUUAACCAUGUAAGCCGGCCGUGCUGGCAUCCCUGACUGUUUGCCGGGGAUCAUUUUGUAAUGAUUUUCUCGUCGGACGUGAUCUUUCUUCUCUACUGUAUUAAUGAUGCAUCAUUUAGUACAAAUCUUUACAUCUUGAAAAGCACCGAUGAAAAUGCAUCUGAUGUUCUCUGAACGUGAAUCUACAAUGGCCUUCGGGCGGCAAUUUGGGUCCUACUUGUAUUGGCUUCUUCUGCUUUAUUUCCUUCUCUAAUAACAGGGGAUGUCCACAGAUUUUCCAUUACAGGACCUGAUCAUCACAUAUGCUUUGUUAUUUGAUAGCAAUUUUCCACUUCUGCGGUCCAUUCCUACCAUCUAUUUGAAAUCUGUGACAUCCCACCAGCUCUUGAAAAGAAGGGUGCAGUGCAGAACCCUACCAUUCUAUGAAAUGUUAGGAGAUGAGGUCAAGAUUUCUGAGUCAUGAAGUUGUCGAUUCUUGCGAAAGGGUGAGAGAGAGAGAAUGAUAGAAGUAGAAAGCUAAUAAACCACGGAAUUCCAUGAUGGGAACACGUGGACUUUAAAGGAAAGGAAGAGACAAGAAAACGCGUGGAAGCGGUAUGUAUAAAUAAAUUUGAUAAUCGAAUAAUAAAAAAGAUAAUUUAUGUGUUUAAUACAAUAAAUUUAAAAAUAUAUAAACAGUUAAACCGUAAAAAUUAUUAUGGAUUAAUUAUCUUCUUGUGGACAUCCAUAAAAUAUUAAUAAUAAGUUUUUUACAUGAGAAGAAUGAUAAAUGAUAAAUUAUAAAUUUAAUAUAUAUUAAAAUAAAAUUAACUUAAUUAGAUAUAUAAAAAUUGAUGAAAGAAAUAUUUUAUAAUAUAAGAAACAAAUCAAGUCGUUAAAUAGAUAAAAUGUUGAUAGCAACCAUAUUCAUUGCACAUUUAAAUUAAUCCUAGAAAUUUUAAAAGUUGUAGUUUAAUUGGUUAAAUUUUAGAUUUUUUUUAAAAAAUUACUGGUUUGAAUUUUAAAAUUUUAAAAUCAUUAAAAAUUUAUAUAAUUAUUAAUUUUAAAAUUUAUAAAAUUAAUUGAGAUAUUGGUGUAAAUAUCAAUAAUACGCUGCCGUGGAUAGCACAUAACUUGGUGCAUCGGAAGCACGAUGUUAAUUUCCAGAGCCACCAAUGAUGCGCCGCCGUGGAUAGCAAAGACGAGUUAAUUUUAGGACUCUUUUGACUAUUCUUCAUGCAAAUAUUUUUUAAAAAAUUAUAAAAUAUAAUUUUCAAUAUAAAAAUAAAUUGAUGUAUUGCCAAUGUGGAAACCCAAAGAAUAUACAACCUUGGUGAAAUUAACAGGUGAAUACGACCGUGCCCUUUCAUUUUUCCAUGCCAAACGCUCCAGAGAGCUAGCGUUCUCUUCUUUGGUUUAUUGACCGUGCAUGUCCCUUACAUAAGGGAAUUUUUAUUUUUGUGAUGUAAAAGUAUUUUUGAAAAAAAAUUAUUAUUUUUCAGUUUUAUUUCAAAUUAAUUUUCAAAAUGAAUCUUUAAUUGUGGCAUUCACUGGGUUCUUCAAGAAUUUAGCACAUGACAUGUUAAGUUUUCAGUAAUUAAAAAAAAAGGGCCAAAUGUUUUCACCUCGGGCCACACCGAAAUGAUAGGCAGGAUUGCCGUCACCGUCACGGGCAAGAAGGAUCCGACAUGUACAAUAUUAAAUUCAUGGAAGCCGGUUUAAAACUUCCUAACAAUAUUAAAUUAUUUAUAUUAUAUUUAGGGCUGGGUCACAAAAUAAAUUUUUUUAAAAAAACUAAAUUAAAAAAAAAAACUUAAAAGGCCAACAUUUCAGUUAUUUUAUUAUUUGAGCUGAAACUAUAAACAUUGUUAAAAAAAUUGUUGAAAAAAAUUUCCUUACAAGGCCGGAGUCGUUGCCUGCCUCCUAUCUCCGCCACUGAUCAUAUCCAUACUUGGUGCUCAAUGUAUUAAUCUUUUAUAUCAGCAUGAUUAAGGCAUCAUCAAGUGGAUUAAGUUUGGAUUGACUGUCUUCAAAUGGGCAUAAAUAAGAUAAGAAUAAUAAGUUUUCAUCCAUGCCUUUAAGAUGAAGGAUGGACCCGAGUUUUAAAGUAUAAAAUAAUAUAAAUAUAUAACUAAAUUAAUUAAGAUUUAAAAAAUCUAAAAAUUAUAAGUUUCUAAUAUAAAGCUUAAAAAUUUAUAUAUGUAUUAUAAAAAGAUGAUUUAUGAAAUUUUAUUUUUUUAUAAUUUAUAAUUGUUCUUUGUAAGAUUUUAUAUGCUGAAAACAUUGUAGGAUUUUCUCAUUAUUAACACUUUUAAAUAUAUCUUUUUUUAUAUAAUUAACCAUAAUCAAACAAUCAUUUAAUUAAUCAUACAAUCAUUUAAUCAAUCAUCUCUGAUUCGAUUGCAUAACCAGCUUUUAAUCAAUUUUAUCGCUGAAAAUAUUCUCUUUAUUGAUGAAGUGUUUUGUAUCCAUCAAUUUUUAAGCAAGAUCAUUUAUUCAUUUUACCUUUGUAAAUUCUUCACAGGAUCUCAUGUCAAGAAUAUAAGUUUCAAGUUGAUUAUAAGUGCUGCAAGCUCAACUAUGAAGAAAAUACAUGGAUAGAAUUAAGCAAGAUGAAUCAACUUUUGCUUAUCACAGGCCAUUAUUUGCCACUCCAACACUACAAAGGGAAAGACUCUUUUCCUUGGCCAACAAGCUAUAUUGGCUACAGUUUUGCCUCGGGUGUAUCAUUUAUUAUUAUUUUUUUUUUUACAAAAAAGUACUUUGAUGCUUUCAAAUUGAUUCAUCAACUUUUAUAUAUAUAUAUAUAUAUAUAUAUAUAUAUAUAUAUAUAUAUAUAUAUAUAUAUAUAUAUAUAUAUAUAUCUUUUAGAUCGUUUUGAUGCGCUAAUCUUAAAAAUAAUUUUUAAAAAUAAAAAAAAUAUCAUUUUAAUGUAUUUUAAUAUAAAAAAACUUUGAAAAACAAUUGUAAUUACACUACCGAAUACUCAUGGGAUAUAAAAUUGUGACCUCAGGGAACAAGUCAGCUUAUUGAGGAGAAGUAGAAAUAUGAGCAUUACAAAUCAAGCCUGCUUGAGCUUCCUCUAGGCAAUCAAGUUAAAGACUAAAUUUGAUGCAAAGUACAAAUCUUAAUAGAACUCGUUGAAAAUAAUUUAGAUAAUUUUUUUCUUAAUUUCCUUAUAUUGUUGGCAAAAAGUUUGCGAAAAGGUGGCAAACUUGUUCGCAAUACAGAGUUCCAAGUACAACAACACAUGCAAGCAAACAUCCGACUCUGUCAAGAUCUCUGGAUCUGUUGCUUGCACUGGGAUCAA
rnacentral:lncRNA from 1 species